CCGAACAGCCUGCCGGAAAGCGACGACUCCUUACCGGGAGCAUCCGAACUGUUCGCCGGAAACAACCGAUCCCGGACCCGAACCGCCCGCUCGGGAUGUGGUAUUAUGUAAGAACAGUCUACAUUUGUUCGAGAUGACCAACUGAGCCCAUAGUCUUUGGUUUCGGGGCCUGCUGCUAGGAAACCGGAGCACCUGGAGGAAACCCACACAGACGCGGGGAGAAUGUGCAAACUCCACACAGACAGUCGCCUGAGGGUGGAAUCGAACUUGAGUUCCUGGUGUUGUGAAGCAAUGACAGCCAAGGGCUAUCAAUAAAUUUAAUUAACUCAAUAAAAUGCUGCCAAUUCUGCUGACCUUUUUCAACAAUUUCUGUUUUCAUUGGGGUAGAAGUUAGCAGAUCUGACAAAGAUCCACUCUUAAUUGUUAACAUUAUUGCCACCAUUCAAACAUUUCCUGUUUUCAGUUGAAAUAUCGUAUUUUAAAAAUCCUUUUGUCAUGUCUGUGUCUUUUCCUGCUCACUCUUUCUUUUGUUAUAUGUCUUUUCAAAUGCUGUUAGCCCUUCAGUUUUUUCCCCCAAUUCUGACGAAGACUAAUACCUGAACAAUUAACUUGUCUGUUCUCUUGAAAUCUGGAACUUUGUUUAUUGGGAAGUCAACUUAAAAUUUAAAAACUGAUGUUGUUGUUUGUAAGUUAAAAGCA